GGAAAUGUAGCAGAGAUGGUCAAUGCGGCAGUUUGAAGAACUGUUGAUGUAGGUUCGAGUCCUACCGUUUCCA
rnacentral:tRNA from 1 species